AACAAAGUAGACACCAUGGAUCGAUGCUGGUUAACUAAGCUUCGUAUGGUACUAGAUCAGUAUACCCGUUGCAGUGGAAGGACAUUUAUAUUGGCUGCGUGAGGGAGAAGGAUGAGCACUUCGGUAUGUUUACAGAGAAGGGGCGACGCCUGCGUGGCUCAACAUGACUUGUUAUAUAUGCGGUCACUUGGGAGUCUAGAAGCAUGGCUUGGAAAGCCAUCCUUGGCCACGUCCGUUGCCAAAGUCUGGCUUCUUCCUUGAUCUUGGAGACCAGGGAGUGGAGAGAAGGCCGGGAACCCUGGAAUAUGCAAUUGUUUCGAUGUUUCCAUAUCAUCCAGGGGGUGAGCAACACGGCAGAGGCUGGACAUUUUCACUGGCAGCUGCCCUUCAGCUUUCAUGUUGUUUCAUUGAUGGUUUUCCUAUUCGUCAAGCUAUACAAGGUCCUGUAUUUUGAGAUGUUGCAGCUGGAGAUCAAGUUUAGAGACCUCUACAUUAACAUUUUUUCAUGCAUAGGCAUACAUCCAGUUAUAGCAUUCAUGUAUGCAUUGUUUAGCGCUACUGCCAUUUGUCCUAUUUUCUGUAAGGUGGUGAUGCUAAUUUCAAUGUUUGUAGUGUCUUGUCUCUACCUCUGCUGGAUCUGAAGGCCGGGUUAAGGAGGUGCCCAUGCUGUGUAGGAACUUAGAGAGCAUUCAGGGAUAUGAGGAGUGUUGGGUGCCCUUUUGAAUCUCAUUGGUGUUGAAGGUUAUGGGUGAUGGCAGUUUGAUGUUCAGCUGGAGUAUAUCUAUCCAAUUUAAUGUUCCGUCAAGGACCUCCAGAAAUCCUUCAAGACACUGAUGUAGGUCGAUAGUGAGGGCAUCAACUCGGUGAUGAUGAGCAGUUGGCUGCCACUGCACCCCCUGCAUGGUGGUACAGGUCGGUGAAGUAUCUGAGCUUGGAUGAGAGUGUGGAGGAAGAAGAGGAGCUGGAGUUUGAAGAGAAGAAGGAUGAGCUUGUAGUCAUUUGUCUGUCUCCCCGCGCAUGAGUUGUUGUUACUAUUACUGUGCUAUGUAGCCUAGUAGACUGCUGAAAAUCUUCUGAUUUAUGUGUGUUUUUCCUGUGGCUGGGACUAUGUAUGCAUGGUGCCUUGCGUAGGUUUCCACCAUGUAGCUGUUGUGUCAAAUAAAUCCACUCCGUACAUGUAGAUAGCAUGUGUGCGUGUGUAAAAUCAAAUAAAUGUUUCUCCUGUGUUCAAAGCUUUCGACAAUGCUUAUUUGGUUCACUCGGGCUGAUGUAAAAAAAUAAAUAGAUAUUUCGAUGAUUUGAAGCAAAAAUACACAAGAUGAAUUUGUUUGAA